CCUACGGGAGGCAGCAGUGGGGAAUAUUGCACAAUGGGGGAAACCCUGAUGCAGCGACGCCGCGUGAGUGAAGAAGUAAUUCGGUAUGUAAAGCUCUUUCAGCAGGGAAGAAAAUGACGGUACCUGAGUAAGAAGCCCCGGCUAACUACGUCCCAGCAGCCGCGGUCAUACGGAGGGGGCAAGCGUUAUCCGGAUGUACUGGGUGUAAAGGGGGCGUAGACGGCAGUGCAGGUCUGGAGUGAAAGGCGGGGGCUCAACCCCGGGACUGCUCUGGAAACUGUACGGCUGGAGUGCAGGAGAGGUAAGUGGAAUUCCUAGUGUAGCGGUGAAAUGCGUAGAUAUUAGGAGGAAUACCAGUGGCGAAGGCGGCUUACUGGACUGUAACUGACGUUGAGGCUCGAAAGCGUGGGGAGCAAACAGGAUUAGAUACCCGAGUAGUC
rnacentral:rRNA from 1 species